AUACGUAGGUGACAAGCGUUAUCCGGAUUUACUGGGCGUAAAGGGCGUGUAGGCGGUCUUGCAAGUCAGAAGUGAAAUUCCUGAGCUCAACUCGGGCGCUGCUUCUGAAACUGCAGGACUUGAGUGCUGGAGGGGAUAGCGGAAUUCCUAGUGGAGCGGUAAAAUGCGCAGAUAUUAGGAAGAACACCGGUGGCGAAGGCGGAUAUCUGGACAGGAACGGAGGCGGAGGCGGGAAAGCGGGGGGAGCAAACAGGAGUAGUUACCCGGGUAGGCCACGCCGUAAGCGAUGAAUACUAGGUGUAGGGGGUAUCGACUCCCUCUGUGCCGCAGUUAACACAAUAAGUAUUCCGCCUGGGGAGUACGGCCGCAAGGUUGAAACUCAAAGGAAUUGACGGGG
rnacentral:rRNA from 1 species